CAUUUGUUACCACCUUCUGUACUAAGUCCGUUUCUCUUAUUAAGAUUUUGGGGUUUGGGGUUUGUUCAAUUUUUUUGGCAAUAUAAAUUCUGGGUAUGACUUGAUUAAGUAAAUUGAUUGGCAAUUUAACCUUUUUUGUUGUUGUUGUUGGUGUAAGUAGAGGAAAGGG